UACGGGGGGGGCAAGCGUUGUUCGGAAUUACUGGGCGUAAAGGGCUCGUAGGUGGCCAACUAAGUCAGACGUGAAAUCCCUCGGCUUAACCGGGGAACUGCGUCUGAUACUGGAUGGCUUGAGUUUGGGAGAGGGAUGCGGAAUUCCAGGUGUAGCGGUGAAAUGCGUAGAUAUCUGGAGGAAUACCGGUGGCGAAGGCGGCAUCCUGGACCAUUACUGACGCUGAGGCGCGAAGGCUAGGGGAGCAAACGGG
rnacentral:rRNA from 1 species